AUGCGCCGCUACCAUGCAGUCGAACGAGAGAGAGGAAGCUUGCUUCCUCAAUCGAGUGGCCCACGGGUGAGUAACGCGUGAGGAACCUGCCUCAAAGAGGGGGACAACAGUUGGAAACGACUGCUAAUACCGCAUAAGCCCACAGCUCGGCAUCGAGCAGAGGGAAAAGGAGCAAUCCGCUUUGAGAUGGCCUCGCGUCCGAUUAGCUAGUUGGUGAGGUAACGGCCCACCAAGGCGACGAUCGGUAGCCGGACUGAGAGGUUGAACGGCCACAUUGGGACUGAGACACGGCCCAGACUCCUACGGGAGGCAGCAGUGGGGAAUAUUGCACAAUGGGGGAAACCCUGAUGCAGCGACGCCGCGUGGAGGAAGGAGGUCUUCGGAUUGUAAACUCCUGUUGUUGAGGAAGAUAAUGACGGUACUCAACAAGGAAGUGACGGCUAACUACGUGCCAGCAGCCGCUGUAAAACGUAGGUCACAAGCGUUGUCCGGAAUUACUGGGUGUAAAGGGAGCGCAGGCGGGAAGACAAGUUGGAAGUGAAAUCUAUGGGCUCAACCCAUAAACUGCUUUCAAAACUGUUUUUCUUGAGUAGUGCAGAGGUAGGCGGAAUUCCCGGUGUAGCGGUGGAAUGCGUAGAUAUCGGGAGGAACACCAGUGGCGAAGGCGGCCUACUGGGCACCAACUGACGCUGAGGCUCGAAAGUGUGGGUAGCAAACAGGAUUAGAUACCCUGGUAGUCCACACCGUAAACGAUGAUUACUAGGUGUUGGAGGAUUGACCCCUUCAGUGCCGCAGUUUAACACAAUAAGUAAUCCACCUGGGGGAGUACGACCGCAAGGUUGAAACUCCAAAGGAAUUGACCGGGG
rnacentral:rRNA from 1 species